rnacentral:rRNA from 1 species
GACGAACGCUGGCGGCGUGCCUAACACAUGCAAGUCGAGCGAGAAUUUAGUAAUUGAUCCCUUCGGGGUGAUUUUGCUAAAGGAAAGCGGCGGACGGGUGAGUAACGCGUGAGUAACCUGCCCUUUGGAUGGGAUAACACAGAGAAAUCUGUGCUAAUACCGCAUAAUAUAUGUUUACCGCAUGAUAGACAUAUCAAAGCUUUAUGUGCUGAAAGAUGGUCUCGCGUCUGAUUAGCUAGAUGGCGGGGUAACGGCCCACCAUGGCGACGAUCAGUAGCCGGUCUGAGAGGAUGAACGGCCACAUUGGGACUGAGAUACGGCCCAGACUCCUACGGGAGGCAGCAGUGGGGAAUAUUGGGCAAUGGGGGAAACCCUGACCCAGCAACGCCGCGUGAAGGAAGAAGGCUUUCGGGUUGUAAACUUCUUUUACCAGGGACGAAGAACGUGACGGUACCUGGAGAAAAAGCAACGGCUAACUACGUG